AGCAUAUUAAUAAGGGGAGGAAAAGAAACUAACAAGGAUUCCCUUAGUAACGGCGAGUGAAGCGGGAAUAGCUCAACAUGAAAAUCGGUGUCCUAAGCGGGACUUCGAAUNGUAGCCUAGAGACGCGUUAUCAGCGUGUGACCCAGGAAUAAGUCCUUNGGAAGAAGGCAUCAAAGAGGGUGAGAAUCCCGUCCUUGUCCUGGAGUUCGCCGCGUACGAUGCGCGUUCGAAGAGUCGAGUUGUUUGGGAUUGCAGCUCUAGAUGGGUGGUAAGUUUCAUCUAAAGCUAAAUAUUGGCGAGAGACCGAUAGCGAACAAGUACCGUGAGGGAAAGAUGAAAAGAACUUUGAAAAGAGAGUUAAAAAGUACUUGAAAUUGCUAAGAGGGAACCGCUGGAACCCAGUGCUACCCAUGGUCAUUUUUGCCGUUUGCUCUUGAAGGGGCGUAGUUCUAGUUCGCAAGUCUAGUUCUGCGUUUGGACAGGUGGUAGGCGGUACUGUGAUUGUGGGUGUGUCCGGAUCAGUUCGAUUCGCGGGAGAACCAAAGUCGGAAGGUAGGGUGCUUGCAUCUGUUAUAGCCGGCUUUGGAUACCGUGGGUUGGACUGAGGAUGUCAUGGUGCGCCUGUUGGCUUGUGACCCUGCUCCUGGUUGGCUUUCAUGGCGUGGAUAGCAAUGCUAUGCUGUUGUGGAAGUUGGCUACUGAGUGGGUGCUCUCAUAUGCACCAUCGCGAUUCGGACGAAAUGGGUUCCAUCGACCCGUC
rnacentral:rRNA from 1 species